UACGAAGGGGGGCUAGCGUUGUUCGGAAUUACUGGGCGUAAAGCGCGCGCAGGCGGCUCUUCAAGUCAGGGGUGAAAGCCCAGAGCUCAACUCUGGAACUGCCUUUGAGACUGAAGAGCUUGAGUACGGGAGAGGUGAGUGGAAUUCCCAGUGUAGAGGUGAAAUUCGUAGAUAUUGGGAAGAACACCGGUGGCGAAGGCGGCUCACUGGCCCGUUACUGACGCUCAGGCGCGACAGCGUGGGGAUCAAACAGG
rnacentral:rRNA from 1 species